UAGAGCUGUUCGUGUUGCCCUAG
rnacentral:piRNA from 1 species